AGUAGGUUGUACGGCUGCGGAGUACGAAAGUACGACGAGGAAAGUCCGAGCUUCACACAAGCAGGGUGCCGGUUAACGGCCGGUGAAGGCGACUUCAAGGAAAGUGCAACAGAAAGUACCGCGUCGCGUAAGCGGCGUAAGGGUGAAAAGGCGAGGUAAGAGCUCACCGCCGCUUUGGUAACAAGGCGGGCAAUGUAAACCCCACCCGAAGCAAGAUGGGAGCGGGUAAAGCGCGCUUGUGCGCUCCGCUUGUUCGAGUCGCUUGAGCUUGGCGGUAACGUCAAGUCUAGAUAGAUAGCCGUAUUAAAUGACAGAACUCGGCUUACAGACCUACUCUU
rnacentral:RNase_P_RNA from 1 species